rnacentral:rRNA from 1 species
AGUCAAGUAAUUAAGUGCAUGUGGUGGAUGCCUUGGCAGUCAGAGGCGAUGAAAGACGUGAUAGCCUGCGAAAAGCUCCGGGGAGGCGGCAAAUAUCCUUUGAUCCGGAGAUGUCUGAAUGGGGGAACCCACCUACUUUAAGGUAGGUAUUGCAACAUGAAUACAUAGUGUUGCAAGGCGAACGAGGGGAAGUGAAACAUCUCAGUACCCUUAGGAAAAGAAAUCAAUUGAGAUUCCCUCAGUAGCGGCGAGCGAACGGGGAUCAGCCCAUUAAGUUAUGUGUGUUUUAGUGGAACGCUCUGGGAAGUGCGAACGUAGAGGGUGAUAUUCCCGUACACGAAAGGGCACACAUAAUGAUGACGAGUAGGGCGAGGCACGUGAAACCUUGUCUGAAUAUGGGGGGACCAUCCUCCAAGGCUAAAUACUCCUGACUGACCGAUAGUGAACCAGUACCGUGAGGGAAAGGCGAAAAGAACCCCUGUGAGGGGAGUGAAAUAGAUCCUGAAACCGCAUGCAUACAAGCAGUGGGAGCACCUUCGUGGUGUGACUGCGUACCUUUUGUAUAAUGGGUCAGCGACUUAUAUUCAGUAGCGAGGUUAACCGUAUAGGGGAGCCGUAGAGAAAUCGAGUCUUAAUAGGGCGUUUAGUUGCUGGGUAUAGACCCGAAACCAGGCGAUCUAUCCAUGAGCAGGUUGAAGGUUGGGUAACACUAACUGGAGGACCGAACCCACUGUCGUUGAAAAGCCAGGGGAUGACUUGUGGAUAGGGGUGAAAGGCUAAUCAAGCCUGGUGAUAGCUGGUUCUCCCCGAAAGCUAUUUAGGUAGCGCCUCGGACGAAUACCAUAGGGGGUAGAGCACUGUUUCGGCUAGGGGGUCAUCCCGACUUACCAAACCGAUGCAAACUCCGAAUACCUAUGAGUACUAUCCGGGAGACAGACUGCGGGUGCUAACGUCCGUAGUCAAGAGGAAAACAAUCCAGACCGCCAGCUAAGGCCCCAAAAUCAUAGUUAAGUGGGAAACGAUGUGGGAAGGCAUAGACAGCUAGGAGGUUGGCUUAGAAGCAGCCACCCUUUAAAGAAAGCGUAAUAGCUCACUAGUCGAGUCGGCCUGCGCGGAAGAUGUAACGGGGCUAAAACUAUGUGCCGAAGCUGCGGAUGUAUACUUUGUAUACGUGGUAGGGGAGCGUUCUGUAAGCCGAUGAAGGUGUGUUGAGAAGCAUGCUGGAGGUAUCAGAAGUGCGAAUGCUGACGUGAGUAACGACAAAACGGGUGAAAAACCCGUUCGCCGAAAGACCAAGGGUUCCAGUCCAACGUUAAUCGGGGCUGGGUGAGUCGACCCCUAAGGCGAGGCCGAAAGGCGUAGUCGAUGGGAAAAUGGUUAAUAUUCCAUUACUUCUGUGUAAUGCGAUGAGAGGACGGAGAAGGCUAAAUCAGCCUGGCGUUGGUUGUCCAGGUGAAAGGAUGUAGGCAUGUAUCUUAGGCAAAUCCGGGGUACUCUAUGCUGAGAUCUGAUAGCAAGCUGUACUUGUACAGCGAAGUGGUUGAUGCCAUGCUUCCAGGAAAAGUCUCUAAGCUUCAGUUACACAGGAAUCGUACCCGAAACCGACACAGGUGGUCAGGUCGAGUAGACCAAGGCGCUUGAGAGAACUCUGCUGAAGGAACUAGGCAAAAUGGUACCGUAACUUCGGGAGAAGGUACGCUGUUGUUGGUGAUGGAACUCGCUUCCUGAGCUGACGACAGCCGCAGAAACCAGGCCGCUGCAACUGUUUAUUAAAAACAUAGCACUCUGCAAACACGAAAGUGGACGUAUAGGGUGUGAUGCCUGCCCGGUGCUGGAAGGUUAAUUGAUGGGGUUAGCGUAAGCGAAGCUCUUGAUCGAAGCCCCAGUAAACGGCGGCCGUAACUAUAACGGUCCUAAGGUAGCGAAAUUCCUUGUCGGGUAAGUUCCGACCUGCACGAAUGGCAUAAUGAUGGCGGCGCUGUCUCCAGCAGAGGCUCAGUGAAAUCGAAAUCGCUGUGAAGAUGCAGUGUACCCGCGGCUAGACGGAAAGACCCCGUGAACCUUUACUGCAGCUUGACACUGAACUUUGACCUUACUUGUGUAGGAUAGGUGGGAGGCUUUGAAGCUGGAACGCUAGUUCCAGUGGAGCCGUCCUUGAAAUACCACCCUGGUAAUGUUGAGGUUCUAACUCUGUCCCGUGAUCCGGGACGAGGACCGUGUCUGGUGGGUAGUUUGACUGGGGCGGUCUCCUCCUAAAGAGUAACGGAGGAGUACGAAGGUGCGCUCAGCGUGGUCGGAAAUCACGCGUAGAGUAUAAAGGCAAAAGCGCGCUUAACUGCGAGACCCACAAGUCGAGCAGGUACGAAAGUAGGUCUUAGUGAUCCGGUGGUUCUGUAUGGAAGGGCCAUCGCUCAACGGAUAAAAGGUACUCUGGGGAUAACAGGCUGAUACCGCCCAAGAGUUCAUAUCGACGGCGGUGUUUGGCACCUCGAUGUCGGCUCAUCUCAUCCUGGGGCUGAAGCAGGUCCCAAGGGUAUGGCUGUUCGCCAUUUAAAGAGGUACGCGAGCUGGGUUUAGAACGUCGUGAGACAGUUCGGUCCCUAUCUACCGUGGGCGCUGGAAAUUUGAGAGGAUCUGCUCCUAGUACGAGAGGACCAGAGUGGACGAACCUCUGGUGUACCGGUUGUGACGCCAGUCGCAUCGCCGGGUAGCUAUGUUCGGAAGGGAUAACCGCUGAAAGCAUCUAAGCGGGAAGCCUACCUCAAGAUAAGAUUUCCCUAGGACUUUAUGUCCUCUAAAGAGCCGUUCGAGACUAGGACGUUGAUAGGUUGGAUGUGGAAGCAUAGUGAUAUGUGAAGCUGACCAAUACUAAUUGCUCGUGAGGCUUGACUAUAC